UACGUAGGGGCUAGCGUUAUCCGGAAUUACUGGGCGUAAAGGGUGCGUAGGUGGUUUCUUAAGUCAGAGGUGAAAGGCUACGGCUCAACCGUAGUAAGCCUUUGAAACUGGGAAACUUGAGUGCAGGAGAGGAGAGUGGAAUUCCUAGUGUAGCGGUGAAAUGCGUAGAUAUUAUGAGGAACACCAGUUGCGAAGGCGGCUCUCUGGACUGUAACUGACACUGAGGCACGAAAGCGUGGGGAGCAAACAGGAUUAGAUACCCUCGUAGUCCCUGAG
rnacentral:rRNA from 1 species